rnacentral:siRNA from 1 species
GAAUUCUGAAUCAUGUCAAGGC